AAUUUUUUGUUUGAAUUAAUAUAUUUCGUAAAUUUACUUUUAUUUCUAAGUUUUGAAAUAUUUGAUUUUUUAUAACAUAAUAAAUACUUAUAAUAAAUACUAAUAUCAGGUUAUCUGUUAUUAAUCAAGUUAUUAAUAUUUUUAUUACAGUGUCAAAUUCAAUAUCUAUCACAUAUGUUGAUAAACCGGAUCUUAAUAAGGAACAGUUGCAAAUAGCACAAGAUAUUGCUAUUAUAAAAGAGCAUGAUCCGGAGCUAAGUGCCUUAUGACGAAAUAACUCCUACUUCACUGUUAUAUUGUAGAAACUGAAUUUCACUAAUUGCGGAUUACUACUCAUACUCUUCAUGUGCGUAUAUAGAGAAAAUUUUGCGCCUUACUUUUACUUUAUUACAAAAUGCCAAUUUAUUAAUAUGAUACUUAUAAAAUAGACUUAUUGUCAUUUAAUAAACUGAAUUAUUUGAAAAAUACAA